rnacentral:rRNA from 1 species
CCUACGGGAGGCAGCAGUGGGGAAUAUUGCACAAUGGGGGAAACCCUGAUGCAGCGACGCCGCGUGAGUGAAGAAGUAUUUCGGUAUGUAAAGCUCUAUCAGCAGGGAAGAAGAAAGACGGUACCUGACUAAGAAGCCCCGGCUAACUACGUGCCAGCAGCCGCGGUAAUACGUAGGGGGCAAGCGUUAUCCGGAUUUACUGGGGGUAACGGGAGCGUAGACGGCAGCGCAAGUCUGGAGUGAAAUGCCGGGGCCCAACCCCGGAACUGCUUUGGAAACUGUGCAGCUGGAGUGCAGGAGAGGUAAGCGGAAUUCCUAGUGUAGCGGUGAAAUGCGUAGAUAUUAGGAGGAACACCAGUGGCGAAGGCGGCUUACUGGACUGUAACUGACGUUGAGGCUCGAAAGCGUGGGGAGCAAACAGGAUUAGAUACCCUUGUAGUC